GCGGGAUUAGUAUAGUGGUAGUACUCGACCCUUCCAAGGUCGCAGGGCCGGUUCAAGUCCGGUAUCCCGCUCCA
rnacentral:tRNA from 1 species